rnacentral:rRNA from 1 species
UACGGGGGGGGGUAAGCGUUGUUCGGAAUUACUGGGCGUAAAGGGCUCGUAGGCGGCCAACUAAGUCAUACGUGAAAUCCCUCAGCUUAACUGGGGAACUGCGUGUGAUACUGGAUGGCUUGGAUUUGGGAGAGGGAUGCGGAAUUCCAGGUGUAGCGGUGAAAUGCGUAGAUAUCUGGAGGAACACCGGUGGCGAAGGCGGCGUUCUGGACUGCAACUGACACUGAGGAACGAAAGCCAGGGGAGCAAACGGG